rfam:Octopus bimaculoides Scaffold64878_contig_48, whole genome shotgun sequence.
CAAACGGCCCUUAUGAGGGCCACCACAUUUUACGUUUAGUUUUCUC